UUAUACUUCAUAGGGCAGUCCGUUUUAUAAUGUCCAGAUUUACACAGUUAAAACAGGAUCCUCUUCCUCUACUCUUCUUGUUCUCUUCUUGUUUCGAAUUUAUAGAUUGUCUUCGAAACUUCAUGAGAUUUUUGUCGGAAUGCUUGACUCCAUUCUUUCGAAUGAAUCUAUUAUAUCUCCUUACAAACAGUCCCAUUUCCUCAUCAUCCGAGUCUUU
rnacentral:lncRNA from 1 species